AUUAUAUUGGCAGAUUAGUGCAUUAAAUUUAGAAUUUGAUUAAGUAAAUUAUUAAAAAUUUAUAUAUAAUA
rnacentral:tRNA from 1 species